AUGGUCAUCCACCGCACCGCCGUGCCCGCGCCCGCCACCGCCUGCCUGCUCAAGGUCGGCCCCAAAAAGGAGGUGGCUGAGUGCAAGGAGAAGUUUGCCAGCUCCGUGGAUCCGACCGUGAGCCAGACGUUCAUGCUGGACCGAGUGUUCAACCCCGAGGGGAAGUCCCUGACACCCAUGAGGGGGUUCAAAUAUUCCAGCUGGUCCCCUCUGGGCUGUGACGCCAACGGGAGGUGCCUCCUGGCCGCCCUGACCAUGGACAACCGGCUGACCAUCCACGCCAACCUCAACCGGCUGCAGUGGGUGCAGCUGGUGGACCUGACCGAGCUCUACGGGGAGCGCCUGUUCGAGGCCGGCUACAAACUCUGCAAGGCCGACGCUCCCUGCGGGGAGCUGGGCGACUUCCCGGAGUUCCAGCGGCGGCACAGCAUGCAGGCCCCCGUGCGCAUGGAGUGGUCGGGGACCUGCACCACCCAGCAGGUCAAGCACAACAACGAGUGCCGGGACGUGGGGAGCGUGCUCCUGGCCGUGCUCUUCGAGAACGGCAACAUCGCCGUGUGGCAGUUCCAGCUCCCCUUCCUGGGGAAGGAGUCCAUUACUUCCUGCAACACCAUAGAGUCCGGGAUAAGCUCCCCCAGCGUGUUGUCCUGGUGGGAAUACGAGCACAACAACCGGAAGAUGAGCGGGCUGAUCGUGGGCAGCGCGUAUGGCCCCGUUAAGAUCCUCCCCGUCAACCUCAAGGCGGUCAAGGGCUACUUCACACUCAGACAGCCCGUGGUGCUGUGGCAGGAGAUGGACCAGCUGCCCGUGCACAGCAUCAAAUGUAUCCCCCUCUACCACCCCUACCAGAAGUGCAGCUGCAGCUUGGUGGUAGCUGCAAGGGGCCCUUACGUGUUCUGGUGCCUCCUGUUGAUCUCCAAGGCGGGCCUGAAGGUCCACAAUUCCCACGUGACGGGGCUCCACUCCCUGCCCAUCGUGUCCAUGACGGCGGACAAGCAGAACGGCACGGUGUACACCUGCUCCAGCGACGGGAAGGUCAGGCAGCUCAUCCCCAUAUUCACAGACGUGGCUCUGAAGUUUGAGCACCAGCUGAUCAAGCUCUCGGAGGUGUUUGGCUCCGUCAGGACUCAUGGAAUUGCUGUCAGCCCGUGCGGGGCGUACCUGGCGGUCAUCACAACCGAGGGCAUGGCCAACGGGCUGCACCCCGUCAACAAGAACUACCAGGUUCAGUUUGUCACCCUCAAAACCUUCGAGGAGGCGGCUGCACAGCUCUUGGAAUCUUCUGUCCAGAACCUUUUCCGGCAGGUGGACCUGACGGAUCUUGUGCGCUGGAAAAUUCUGAAGGAUAAGCACAUUCCUCAGUUCUUACAGGAGGCACUGGAUAAUAAGAUUGAGAGCUGUGGUUCCACUUACUUUUGGAGGUUUAAGCUGUUUCUCCUGAGGAUUUUGUAUCAGUCCAUGCAGAAAGCUCCCUCAGAGGCCACGUGGAGAGCUUCACACGAGGAUGCCAAAAUCUUGAUCUCGGAUUCCCCUGGGAUGGGCAGCACUGAGGAUGAUCAAGAGGAAGGAACUUCAAAACAAGCCAGCAAGCAAAGCCUGUGUGACACAGGCAAAGGUGUGGACUUAGAUGACACUGCAGAGGAUUCUCUCCAUCAGUCAAGUGACACUGGAGGGCGGGAGCCAAUGGAGGAAAAACUUCUUGAAAUACAGGCCCAGAUUGAGGCCGUGGAAAUGCACUUGACACGGGAACACAUGAAACGGGUGUUGGGAGAAGUUUAUCUACACACAUGGAUUACAGAAAACACCAGCAUUCCCACCAGAGGAGUCUGUGACUUCUUAAUGUCUGAUGAUGGCUACGAUGACAGAACGGCACGAGUGCUGAUUGGGCACAUCCUGAAGAAAAUGAACAAACAGACGUUCCCGGAGCACUGCAGUUUGUGCAAAGAGAUCCUGCCCUUCACCGACCGCAAGCAGGCCGUGUGCUCCAACGGGCACAUCUGGCUCAGGUGCUUUCUGACCUACCAGUCCUGUCAGAGUCUGGUGUACAGGAGGUGUUUGCUUCACGACAGCAUUGCACGGCACCCAACCCCAGAAGAUCCUGAAUGGAUCAAGAGGUUAUUGCAAGGACCUUGCACGUUCUGUGACUCUCCUGUGUUCUAGAGAAAAGCUCUGCAAAGACUGAAAGCAUUUUCUCUACUCCAUAAGCUCCCUUCAGCCUUGAAGGACACAGAGCAGAGGAACACAGACUCUGCCAGAGGGACACCACCUCAUCCACAGCCCUGUACAUAGAACAUCGGAGGUUCUGGAAACUCCUCAAGUCCAGAGCCCAUUCCAUGCUCCAGAAACAGGAGUACACCUGGAAGAGCCAGUUUAAAAGAGGUUUGGAAGAGCACCCUAUGGAAGGCUCAGCAGCUGGACACUGACAACUGAAGUGUUGAGCACAGUGUGAACUGUCCUUUCUGCCCUACUGUGUCAUUUCCCAAAAGCUGGGACGGGAACAUGGAGCUGCCUCUGGAAUGGUCCUGAGCAUCAGUGGCAGAGGUGUCGCCCUGUUUGUGAUUCCUGACACUUUAACUGUGUGGGAGGUGCUCUACAGCUGUUGAGAAAUCAUGGAAUUGUCCUGACAGCAUCAGUCUCCCAACAGUGCAUGUGUGAUUGGUGCUUGGUUCCUCGAUUCAAUGACUAUGCAUAUUUUGGUAACGUUCCUUCACCUUCAGUAGGAACGAGUUUUUGUUCAGCUCACAUUAAACAAGUCAGCUGUCCUUCUGUUCAGUGUCUCAUGCAUAAGCAUGAUUGUGCUGAGAAUAAUAUUACUACAGUAGCCUAGAACAGCAGAAGCACAUUCAUCUGUAAAAUAAUUAGCCUCGUUUGUAAAUAUCCUUGGAAGUGGUACCAUAAUUGUAUUAAAGAAAUGUUUAGUUUUUUAUUGCUGUGCAUUGAAAAUUGAAAUUACUUCAGUGUGUCUGCAAAGAAAGGAAAUGUAGCUCGUGAUGGCAUCCAGUAAAACACAGAGUAACCUCAAUACCCAGUGUGUGUGGAGUCUGGGGCCAGCUCUGGGACCUGGGACAACACUGGUCUCCUUCCCAGUGCUGAUGGGGCUUGAGGGGAAUAGAACAUUCAUUUCCAGCAUGAGCUGAACAGGUGGUUUACUUGUGGUGCUUGAGAAAGUAUUCUGAGUGGAAGCUGCAAGUCCUUGCCCUGACAGUCGUGACCUGCUCAUCAGUAAAUGUUCCAAUUGAGAAACUCUCCUGCCUGUGGAAAAGGGGAGGGAGCUCUGCAGAACCACGUCAGUGCUCUUAGAAAAAGUCAAAGGUCACUUCUUUGAUAGUGGCUCAGAAACCAUAAAAACAUCCUGAUCUGCUGAAGUGUUUUCAGUCUGGCUGACCCAAAGGUUCAGCAUGAUAACAGAUCAGAUUGAUUCCUGGUGAUUACUUCUGGAACUCUUGAAUUUCCCUGGAUUGAGUUUUAAUGCUUUCCCAUGUAGAAGCUUAGCACACCUCACAUUAAUGGGGCGGCAUUAAUGUUUAUUUUCCUUGUCUCUCAAGGCAGUAAAUACUCAGUCUAGCAUUGCCAGUUUAUUUAACCUGGUUUCAGACUGCAGGGAGAGGGGAAUUUUAAAGCCCACAAUGUCAGCUUUGCAUGCCAGUGGCGAUCCUUUGGCACGAAGCUUUCACUUCUCACCUGACCCAUUCACAACAGUACACAGGAAUUGUGAUUUCAUUUUUGUUUAAACCAGCACUCAUCCCUCAGUGCAUUUUUAACCAGCACAGGCUGAAAUAGCAGAGCCCACCUCAGGCAGUAACAUUUAACCCCUGGUGCUGCUCUGACGGGGUUUUUUUGCCCAGUGAGCAGCUGAGGCUGCUGCAGGAGACCUUUUGCCUCCUGGACUCAUGAUGUGCAGUUCUGGGAACACAGAGGUUAGUCCCAUUCCUGGAGCAGUGUAACAACCCACACACUGUCCUAAUCAAACCUCUUGCCUUCAUCCCAUGGGAAAGGCAAACUGGAGCAAGGUGGGAGCACCUGCUGCCAGAUCCUCGUGCUAUUUUGCCACUAAUGGAGUUGCCUCCCCAAACUAACACAUAGCAGAGACACAAGGUGAAGUGUUGCAAGAAGAAAUCCCACAGAAUCAGGGAGUUUAUCUCACUGUGGUUUUGCCUAAGUUUUGCAGGAUAUUUCAAACAAGUGAAUAGUUGAAGGUUGUCCUCAACUACUUCACCAUUUGGUGGUGAACACUGGCUGUUCAUGAUGCCUCAUCUCCAGAGGGAGAAUCACACCAGCAGACACUGAGGGUUCCUGAUGCACUGCUGCUUUUUUUUUUCCUAAAGGAUUGUGGUAUUUGCUCUUGCAGCUGAGAAUUAAUAGCCAAAGAUUCUGUUCUGUAUCCAAAGCUAACGUGUCACUGUCCUUGAUGAGCAGCUUCUGAUAGCAUGUGAGAUUUGCUACUGACACUGAUAACAGAGUUUAUCCCUCCUCCACUGGGAUGAAGAAAUCCAGGCUAAUCCAGGUUUGAUGGAUAAGCAGAACAGCUCUGGAUUGUACAGUGUCUCAGUGCCUUGGUGCUGGAUGCCAUUCUUGGAACGAAGGUGGGAGUUUGGGGUCAUGAGGACUCAGUCUUGUCUCCAAAUUACACCCGCUGCUCUGGAAGUGGUGACAGGGGACCUCAUUGCUGCCUUUUACCUCAAUUCAGCUCUGGGUCAGCAGCUUCAUCAUUCAGUCACCCUUUCCUUUUGUGUGUUUCCUCAUCCUAUUAAUCCUGUGGCAUAUUUCUAGAGAGGAAAUGCUAUGGUUGCUAAUGCACAAAGACAAUAAGUAUCUCCCUAAUUUUCUUAAAUUUACCAGGAUUUCCACAGGCUAAUGUACCAUCAGUGAUCAUGAGCAACACAACACCACUUACUCUGUCCUCAUUAAGGGUUUCUUGACAUAAAAGAACUGAAUGCAAACACAGUCCUAGUUGAAGGCC